rnacentral:rRNA from 1 species
UACGUAGGGGGCAAGCGUUGUCCGGAAUCAUUGGGCGUAAAGCGCGUGUAGGCGGCCAGAAAAGUCCGCUGUGAAAACUCGAGGCUCAACUUCGAGCUGUCGGUGGAAACUUUCUGGCUAGAGUCCGGAAGAGGAGAAUGGAAUUCCUGGUGUAGCAGUGAAAUGCGCAGAUAUCAGGAAGAACACCCGUGGCGAAGGCGGUUCUCUGGGACGGUACUGACGCUGAGACGCGAAAGCGUGGGGAGCGAACAGG